AAUAAAUGUAGUUCUGUACUAUUUAUGUCUUGACUGUUCAUCUUAUUUAAAAAAAAUUAUAAUUAGUAUUUUUAUUGUUAUUAGAUAAUAAAAUAUAAAUAUUAUUUAUUGUGUGACUAUUUUUUUUCAAUUUUUUCAUAAAAUUUUUAAAUAAGAUGAUCGGUCAAACGUGUCCUCACGGCUACACUUAUU
rnacentral:pre_miRNA from 1 species